UGCAGGCAAGAGCCGAAACACGUCCGGUUCGUUACGCCAAGCUCACUCACUCACUCACUCACUCACUGGCCGAGCCACCAAUCCCAGACAACAACUCUCUCCUCGUCCGUCCGUCCGUCCGUCCGUUCGUCACACGUUCACUGCUGCACCAAAGCGCAGGGGACUGCAAACCUGUAACUUCCGUAUGUCCUCCACCUAAGAGGUCGUUGGCACUGCAAAUACCUUGUCAACGACUGCACUAAAGUGUCUCAGAUGUUCUUUGUUCUCGAGAGCAGAGCAGAGCAGAGCAGAGCAGAGCAGAGCAGAGAAACGAGACGUUUUAGGAGCAACGUAGGCGUAUUGGAUGACAAUGUGCUGAUUCUUCCACCUUUUGUGUGUUUGCUCUUCGUUCGUUCGUGAUACUUGCUCCGUUACACUGGAGAAUCAGUCGCAGUGAGCAAGGCGUUGUACUUUCACUCUUCUCUCGAAUACUUCAUUCCCGAAGUCCCUGAAAUGUCGGAGUGAUACUGGAAACCAUCUGAAGCGCCUAUAGAAGAAAGGAGCUGUGAGAUAAGCCACGCAGACUUGGCCAAGAAAGGCGAGACAGAAGUGGCACAUUCUCUCUGGGCAGUCCUCGGACGGCGAUCCGGGAGCGUGACCCCUGACCCCUGACCCCUGGAGCUACGAGAGCACGUUCUCGGACGACAGGCAGCAAACAAGAAAGUCCUCAGAGCAAACACUGAGACUGCUAAGGUGGCGCUCGAUAAUUAUUGACCUGCACGUGUUGACCACUAGACUACAGAAAGGUGAGCUUACUUUUUAUGAGUGGGGCU